GCCGCCAUAGCUUGGUUGGGAGAGCAUCAGACUGAAGUUCUGAAGGACCUGCGUUUGAUCUGCAGAGACGGCA
rnacentral:tRNA from 1 species